GACGAACGCUGGCGGCGUGCUUAACACAUGCAAGUCGAACGCUGAAGCACCAGCUUGCUGGUGUGGAUGAGUGGCGAACGGGUGAGUAAUACGUGAGUAACCUGCCCUUGACUCUGGGAUAAGCCCGGGAAACUGGGUCUAAUACUGGAUGCUACAUGUCACCGCAUGGUGGUGUGUGGAAAGGGUUUACUGGUCUUGGAUGGGCUCACGGCCUAUCAGCUUGUUGGUGAGGUAAUGGCUCACCAAGGCGACGACGGGUAGCCGGCCUGAGACGGUGACCGGCCACACUGGGGCUGAGACACGACCCAGGCUCCGACGGGAGGAAGCAGUGGGGAAUAUUGCACAAUGGGCGAAAGCCUGAUGCAGCGACGCCGCGUGAGGGAUGACGGCCUUCGGGUUGUAAACCUCUUUCAGCAGGGAAGAAGCCACAAGUGACGGUACCUGCAGAAGAAGCGCCGGCUAACUACGUGCCAGCAGCCGCGGUAA
rnacentral:rRNA from 1 species